UGACUGGGGCGGUCGCCUCCUAAAGCGUAACGGAGGCGCGCGAAGGUUGGCUCAGAGCGGUCGGAAAUCGCUCGUUGAGUGCAAUGGCAGAAGCCAGCCUGACUGCAAGACUGACAAGUCGAGCAGAGUCGAAAGACGGCCAUAGUGAUCCGGUGGUCCCAAGUGGGAGGGCCAUCGCUCAACGGAUAAAAGGUACGCCGGGGAUAACAGGCUGAUACUGCCCAAGAGUCCAUAUCGACGGCAGUGUUUGGCACCUCGAUGUCGGCUC
rnacentral:rRNA from 11 species